AGCUUUAUGAAAUUACAUAAAGUACAUCCUGCUCAGUGUCUAUAAACAGCCGCAGAACCUUAUACUGUGCUAAGGUAGCAUAAUCACUUGUCUUUUAAUUUAAGAAUAGAAUGAAUGGAAAAACGAAUAUUAUUCUGCUUCAUUUUUUUAAAAUAAAAUUACUUAAAAGUAAAAAUUCUUUUUUUUUGAAAAAAAAAGACGAUAAGACCCUAAAGAACUUAACUACAGUUAAGCUGGGGCGGCACUGUAAAAAAAUCUUACACUAACCCUUUAGUAACUCCUAACUUUAUAUAAAGUUACCUUAGGGAUAACAGCAUAAUUUAAUUUUAAAGCUCCUAUAAAAAAUUAAGAUUAUGACCUCGAUGUUGAAUUAAGCCUCUCUCCGACGAAAAUUUCGGACAAGAAAGUCUGUUCGACUUGUAAAAAAUUACA
rnacentral:rRNA from 1 species